rnacentral:rRNA from 1 species
AGUGAACGCUGGCGGUAGGCCUAACACAUGCAAGUCGAACGGCAGCACAGUAAGAGCUUGCUCUUACGGGUGGCGAGUGGCGGACGGGUGAGGAAUACAUCGGAAUCUACUUUUUCGUGGGGGAUAACGUAGGGAAACUUACGCUAAUACCGCAUACGACCUACGGGUGAAAGCAGGGGAUCUUCGGACCUUGCGCGAUUGAAUGAGCCGAUGUCGGAUUAGCUAGUUGGCGGGGGAAAGGCCCACCAAGGCGACGAUCCGUAGCUGGUCUGAGAGGAUGAUCAGCCACACUGGCACUGAGACACGGUCCAGACUCCUACGGGAGGCAGCAGUGGGGAAUAUUGGACAAUGGGCGCAAGCCUGAUCCAGCCAUACCGCGUGGGUGAAGAAGGCCUUCGGGUUGUAAAGCCCUUUUGUUGGGAAAGAAAAGCAGCAGGUUAAUACCCCGCUGUUCUGACGGUACCCAAAGAAUAAGCACCGGCUAACUUCGUG